CCUACGGGUGGCAGCAGUCGAGAAUCAUUCACAAUGGUGGAAACCCUGAUGGUGCGACGCCGCGUGGGGGAAUGAAGGUCUUCGGAUUGUAAACCUCUGUCAUGUGGGAGCAAAUUAAAAAGAUAGUACCACAAUGGGAGGAGCCGGCUAACUCGGUGCGGCCAACUGCGGUAAAACAGCGGUAUGAAGCGUUGUUCGGAAUCACUGGGCGUAAAGCGUGCGUAGGCGGUUUCGUAAGGCGUGUGUGAAAGGCGCGGGCUCAACCCGCGGACGGCACAUGAUACUGGGAGUCUAGAGUAAUGGAGAGGGAAGCGGAAUUCGCGGUGUAGCAGUGAAAUGCGUAGAUAUCGCGAAGAACACUGGUGGCGAAGGCAGGUUCCUGGACAUUAACUGACGCUGAGGCACGAAGGCGAGGGGAGCGAAAGGGAUUAGAUACCCGUGUAGUC
rnacentral:rRNA from 1 species